UUAAUUAUAUCUCUGAUAUUCCUUGUUUGUACUAGAUGCUUGCAUGAGUAGUACGACCAAACUUUGCUUGUGUCUUAUCUCCUUUUUAUUUCCUUAUAAAACCUGCUUCGUUUCUUCACUGAUUAAGUUACAAAAACUAGAGCCAACCUAAUAAUGAGGAGGAAUAAUCAGGACAUCAGGUGGUUUUUCAUUAAGGAAAAAAGUAAACAUCCAAAUUCAAAUUGAAGAGUACUCAAAUUGAGUGGUCCAUCACGCCUCCUACCCC
rnacentral:lncRNA from 1 species